UUAAAAUAUAGUUGUCAGUCUCUCAUUAUUCUAUCUUUAAGGUAUGACGAAAUUCUCAACAGUCUCCACACUGAUUAUUAUCGACACUGUACUCUCCUUUGGUCUGAAGCUCCAGCUGGAUUGCUCUAGUCUUGGGCAAGCUGGCAACCCUUUCUAUGUGAUCAAGGCUCUCUCCUGACACAUUCAGUAGGACUCUCCGGAGAAUCUUGACAUACUUAAUUCUAAUACAAGCCUCAAUCUGCUGGUGGGACUUUUUUAAACUUCAUACCACUAUUGCAGUAUUCUUUUGAAAACCAACUGGUCAAUGUAGGUACUAAUUAAGUAGACUUUGUGUAGAAGAGUAUCCAUAUGGCUUAUUCUGGCUUAUACAAUUUACUGGUCCAUAGUGCGUCAUUUAUUCCAUGAACUCUGGAAUCCUGUUUCAGAGUCCCAGAAGACCAAACAGAGGCUGUAAUGCAUACUCUGAUCCUCCUUCUCAUCCCUGAGUUUGAGAAGGAGCUGAAUGCUCUUCAGGGAGGGUUACCAUCUUAGGACUCCUCCUAGACAGGAUAGAGUCCUCAGGCGGUAAUCACUUUUUUUGUUUGUUUGUGUGUCUGGCAUUUUCCUCACCAAUAUAAAAUGAAAAAUAUGCUAUGGUCAAAUUUUUGCUUUUGAUUUUAUGGAUAUGGAGUAGCUUUAAGUAAACAGAUAUAAUACUUAAUUUCAGGAAGUUACAUGCUUAAAGAUGAACCAGAGUUUUUGUUCUGUUUUACCAGAAGCAGAAUUCCCCUUUGUGGUCUUCAGCUUGCAUGUCUGAAGCACAGCCUGGCCUUUUGGGGUACUCCCAGACAUAGUCACAUGUGGAGACUUCCUGGCUGGAGUCUUGGUCAGUGACCGUUUAUGCUCAUUAUCUUUGGUAGCAGCUGAAAACCUAAACAGGACAGUGGGGUACAAGACAUUAGUGCUUAUGUCAAGAGUAACUUGUAUCAAACACACACCUGUCACCAAGUAGCAAAAGGACUCAAUAAAUAUUUAUGUGAAUGAA